GUCGCGAGAAGUUCACUGAANCNUAUCAUUUAGAGGAAGGAGAAGUGUAACAAGGUUUCNGUAGGUGAUGCGGAAGGAUCAUUG
rnacentral:rRNA from 1 species